rnacentral:lncRNA from 1 species
GAUAGAGCUAGUGGGUCUACAAAUGAAACAUCCCUAAACCCUCAAAGACAAAGGAAGAUGAGUAGUGAUGAACAUGGUCUGGAUGCUAUAAGUGAGACACUAUUUAUUGAAGAUUUAAGUUGUAAUUUUAAUUUUCAUAGUCUGGAUAGUCCAUGUGAGGCUCCAACACCUGAAACUUCUACUUCAAAAUCCGAGCAUGAGGUGCAAGAGUCUUUAAUGCGAAAGAAAGCGAGACGUUU